rnacentral:rRNA from 1 species
GUGGGGAAUAUUGGACAAUGGGCGCAAGCCUGAUCCAGCCAUGCCGCGUGAGUGAUGAAGGCCCUAGGGUUGUAAAGCUCUUUCACCGGUGAAGAUAAUGACGGUAACCGGAGAAGAAGCCCCGGCUAACUUCGUGCCAGCAGCCGCGGUAAUACGAAGGGGGCUAGCGUUGUUCGGAAUUACUGGGCGUAAAGCGCACGUAGGCGGACAUUUAAGUCAGGGGUGAAAUCCCAGAGCUCAACUCUGGAACUGCCUUUGAUACUGGGUGUCUUGAGUAUGGAAGAGGUAAGUGGAAUUCCGAGUGUAGAGGUGAAAUUCGUAGAUAUUCGGAGGAACACCAGUGGCGAAGGCGGCUUACUGGUCCAUUACUGACGCUGAGGUGCGAAAGCGUGGGGAGCAAACAGGAUUAGAUACCCGUGUAGUCC